CGCAGCUAACGCGUGAAGUAGACCGCCUGGGGAGUACGGUCGCAAGAUUAAAACUCAAAUGAAUUGACGGGGGCCCGCACAAGCGGUGGAUGAUGUGGAUUAAUUCGAUGCAACGCGAAAAACCUUACCUACCCUUGACAUGGAUGGAAUCCCGAAGAGAUUUGGGAGUGCUCGAAAGAGAACCAUUACACAGGUGCUGCAUGGCUGUCGUCAGCUCGUGUUGUGAAAUGUUGGGUUAAGUCCCGCAACGAGCGCAACCCUUGUCAUUAGUUGCUACGAAAGAGCACUCUAAUGAGACUGCCGGUGACAAACCGGAGGAAGGUGGGGAUGACGUCAAGUCCUCAUGGCCCUUAUGGGUAGGGCUUCACACGUCAUACAAUGGUACAUACAGAGGGCCGCCAACCCGCGAGGGGGAGCUAAUCCCAGAAAGUGUAUCGUAGUCCGGAUUGUAGUCUGCAACUCGACUACAUGAAGUUGGAAUCGCUAGUAAUCGCGGAUCAGCAUGUCGCGGUGA
rnacentral:rRNA from 1 species